GAUCCUGGCUCAGGACGAACGCUGGCGGCGCGCCUAACACAUGCAAGUCGAACGAGCGAGAGAGAGCUUGCUUUCUCGAGCGAGUGGCGAACGGGUGAGUAACGCGUGAGGAACCUGCCUCAAAGAGGGGGACAACAGUUGGAAACGACUGCUAAUACCGCAUAAGCCCACGGGUCGACAUCGACCAGAGGGAAAAGGAGCAAUCCGCUUUGAGAUGGCCUCGCGUCCGAUUAACUAGUUGGUG
rnacentral:rRNA from 1 species